AGCACCUUUGAAAUGAUCCAACUCCCCGUAUCAAGCACACCUGGUGCACUAAUCAAGGGCUUCAUUAGUUCAGGUGUGCUUGAGAUAGAACACACCUGGUCUGGCUCCGGGUUUAUUGAGAGUGACGUUUGAUUGCAUGUUAGAAAUUGUCCAAAAAGUUCAGAGAAGAGAUCGUUGCCUUGCACAAACAAGGAAAAUGAUACAAAAAGAUAGCAAAAGCACCGAAUGUCCCUAGAAAUACAGUUGGAAGCAUAGUUGGCAAGUUGAAAGUUGAAGGACCAGCGGCUACGCUACCUGGACGUGGCAGAAAGAAGAAGCUGUCAGCGGCUGCCACCAGAUUCCUGAGGAGGCAAGUGGUCAAAAACCCUCGAGUGACUGCAGAACACCUGCAGCAAGACUCGGUGGCAGCAGGCGCUGAGGUUUCAGUUUGCACAACUUCCUGUGUGGAUAGCUUCCUUGCUCCACGCUGCCAAACGCCUGAAGAGUGACUGCGCCCGUCGCAAGAAGGUCUACAGGCUCCUGCAAAGGAAACUGACACCACGAUGGUCCGCCUCCGAAAUCACCUGAAAUGUGCCUUUGCUUUCAGACGAUUCAAACUGUCCAACCACCACGGCUGUCUGCUCUCGGUGUGUUCACCCAGUCCUCUAGUUCGUUCUCUGUUUCGGGCCAGUGGCACUUUCUUCCUCUGACUGCUUUGUGAGACUUCUUGCAUCUUCUCCUUCUUGCAAGUUCUGCAGCCUCCAAUCUGGAACCAUGGACUCCUUGAUCCGUUUGAGUGCCGCAGCUCGGUUCCCCUUUCAAUGGCCACGUCAAUAGCCUUUAGUUUAAAAGCCGCUGUCACACGUUACAGCGUGUCUUCGACAUGUUUAUAUCUGGGGAUGAGCGAUGGCGGGAAUAAAUACCGAAAUCAACCACGCCCUUAUUUUAUCCGCCGGGGUCAAAGGUGAGAAUAAAGGAAAGUAACAAGUUUCGGCUUAAAACCGGCAUUUAAGGAUACUUUCAGUAUGUGUCCUGGGUUAGUUUUAAGAUGUGAGCCAAUGUAACCGGUCCAGACCUAGAGGUGUCUGGACCGGUAACAUGUGAUUCACACUGGAUUAAUGAAGAGACAUACAUCGUGGGUACGUCUUCAUCGAGCCAGCGUCAUUUCAUUCUGGCUCACGUCGCUUGGUUUGCUCCCCGGUGGCACACAUUCGCCAUCUAACGAUGUGGAGGAGUAGGUCCACGAUGCGUUUGACUGCUCAAAAACCUAUUACAUCACCACUGGAAUACAGGAGCCGCAGCAUGGACACAACAGGAAAGUAGAAACCUGAAAUAAAAGUCUGAGAAUAACCGUCUACCAUUUGAAGAGAGUGAGACACAACAUUGAUAGUUGGUCCUCACUAACCACUAUUUAACUAUUUAGACCUACAGUAUUCUUGUAAAACCCCUUAAACGGAUUAUAUAUCCCACCUGGACAGGUCUGGGAAAGUCGGGACUACCUUGCUUUACAUUGACCUGGAUAAGAGAAAAUGGACGAAAAAACUAUUUUUUUAGCAUUGACUAUUAGUUAUGAAAUAGUAUUCCCAGGUGUUCCUAUUUCUUUUCUUUGAUUCCCAGAUGUACACGGGGUCGGUGUGAAGGGGGGGGAUCGGUGCCACCCCACAUACGUCUACCCUGAGGAGGUGAAACAGUUGAUUCGUUGUGUGUUCUCACAGGACAUCUGUGACUACCCCGACCCCUGCCACGACCAGGUGGUGUACGUCACUCUGGAGGAUUUGCACAAAGUUGACAUCAACUGAAGUGUGUGUCUCUUCUUCUAUGCUGAUGAACAACUUCCAGUCAUGGAUCAGCAACAGUUUUGCAAUGUGGGAAGUUGAUUCUCGAGGGUGUUGAUUGAAAGCUUAUUUCAAGAUGUUUUACUGAGUGGUUUCAGUGUCCCUCAACAUGAAUAUUAGGGUUUACAAAUAUUGUAUAUUUAUAUUGGAUCUCCACUCUUGACAAAUUACAGCUGUCAAGCUCAAAUGCUGAUCCACUAUAAGAACCGACUACAGCAUCUGACCGUUUGUGUAGUUACAAUGCCAAGUAGAAUUCACAAUACAUUCAUUGUAUUUAAUUGUAAUUAAUAUGGAGGGACAAUUUUACUCUGUAAUACAAACAGUAAUAAAACAGUGUUUUCUGUUAUUUUUUCCAAUAAAAGAAUAAAAAGUGUUCCACUACCAAUAGGGUUGUAUUUAAUCCGAAAACAUCUAGAUGUCGAGAAGAAAACAACCUUGAAACCUUGAGGCAGCGGUGUCCAGAUUUGAUGAUGUAAAGAUGCCUGGGGGCCAAUAGUACCUUCUGACAUUUUUAACCAUAAAAGUUACAUGAGAUACACGUUCAUUGUCACCAUUAUCUAGUUUUUUUCCAAUGGCAAUGUAGCCAACGAUAUUCCACUCAGGCAGGCAUCGACAACUCUAAAAGCACUGGUUUGUCUUUUAUUCAUCAUUGAACGAACUCCAUGAAGUUGAUAAAUACCUUUUUACAUUGUGAUCCUUUUAAACAGGAUUGAAUAAAUAACUCUGCUAAAGGAGGAAUUGCAUUUUAAAGUUUCAUGGUUUAUUUAACUGUGCUAGCAGGACAUACACAAUAC
ensembl:lncRNA